CUUCAUGCUGGCUGGCCCGAAACUCAGUGUUUAUAAUUAUCUGGGCAUUACUUUUUUGUUGUGAUAAUUUAAAAUCAAUUUUUCAACUCUUCCUCGUUUAUGGUCCUUAUUUUAUACCCACUUUGAAGGAAAUCUAAGCCUCUUCAUUCUUAUGAAAGAAUCGAUAAGUGCACUUAGAAACUGCAACUAGUUUCGCAACGACAAUUCGAAAUUCUUCUGAAAAGACGGGCAUUUCAUGCAGUUUCUGAUGAACUUCUUUACGAAGUGCUUGGUUUGCUGGGAUCCUCACGGAAAAAUGAAAGCUACUAGCACUCUGUGAUUCAACUGAUUUUUCCGCACUAGAUCAGUUAUUAACAGAGAUUUAGCAGCAAAAUCACAUCAUCAAGUUCUUGAAAAUCUACCUUAAAAUUUAUUGGAAGAUUGACAGAAAA